AUACAGAGGGUGCGAGCGUUAAUCGGAAUUACUGGGCGUAAAGCACGCGUAGGCGGCUUAUUAAGUCAGAUGUGAAAUCCCCGGGCUCAACCUGGGAACUGCAUCUGAUACUGGUAAGCUAGAGUUUUGGAGAGGGAAGUAGAAUUUCAGGUGUAGCGGUGAAAUGCAUAGAGAUCUGAAGGAAUACCAGUGGCGAAGGCGACUUCCUGGCCAAAAACUGACGCUGAGGUGCGAAAGCGUGGGUAGCAAACGGGAUUAGAAACCCCAGUAGUCC
rnacentral:rRNA from 1 species